UCACCGAUCUUGAGUUUCUUCCUUCCAUUCUUCAUGAUUUUUAUGAGUUUUCACCUUCGUUUUGAAGAUUUUCGAGUAUAAAGCAAGUUUUGGAGCUUUGAGGUUCAAGAAGCUCAAUCUCUCCCAUCUCCGAGCUAGGGUCGUUCUCCUCUCGAUCUUCAAGAGGUAAGGGCCGAUCUUGAGCUCAUUUUAUGUUUUAAACAAGUUUUAAGUUGAUCUUUGGGGUAGAAAUGCAUGUUUAGGUUUUUGGUUGGUUUAAGGGUUAUGUUAAGUUUUUGAGCAAUGUAUGAUGCUUGUGGUUGUUUGAUGUGUUGUAGAUGGGGUUUAGGAUAGUUUGAAGCCCCUAGGAGCUGAUGUAUGUAUCUAUGUAUGUUUUGAGUGAGUUGUAUGCUUGAUCUAAAAGGUUGGGAGGCAACUGUGCAUGAGGAACCAAGUUUCUGUCCUUUGGUAGAAACCAGGUUCGGCAGCCGAAGGACUUUCGGCCGCCGAACCUGCUUGGGAGGCAAGCCUUUCGGCUGCCGAAGCCUGCCCCCGAAAGAGGACUUUCGUCUCUGGAGGGUAGUUUCGGCCGCCGAAAGUGCCGCCGAACAUGCAUGAGUUUCGUCUCUGUCUGGGAG
rnacentral:lncRNA from 1 species